rnacentral:rRNA from 1 species
ACCCGUCUUAAACACGGACCAAGGAGUCUAACAUGUGUGCGAGUUUUUGGGUGGCAAACCCAUGAGCGUAAUGAAAGUGAAUGCAGGUGGGAUCCACAAGGAGCACCAUCGACCGGACCUGAUGUUCUGGGAUGGAUCGGAGUAAGAGCAUAUAUGUUGGGACCCGAAAGAUGGUGAACUAUGCCUGAAUAGGGCGAAGCCAGAGGAAACUCUGGUGGAGGCUCGCA